AUUGAACGCUGGCGGCAGGCUUAACACAUGCAAGUCGAGCGGAGAUGAGGUGCUUGCACCUUAUCUUAGCGGCGGACGGGUGAGUAAUGCUUAGGAAUCUGCCUAUUAGUGGGGGACAACAUUCCGAAAGGAAUGCUAAUACCGCAUACGGCCUACGGGAGAAAGCAGUGGAUCGUCGGACCUUGCGCUAAUAGAUGAGCCUAAGUCGGAGUAGCUAGUUGGUGGGGUAAAGGCCUACCAAGGCGACGAUCUGUAGCGGGUCUGAGAGGAUGCUCCGCCACACUGGGACUGGAACACGGCCCAGACUCCUACGGGAGGCAGCAGUGGGGAAUAUUGGACAAUGGGGGGAACCCUGAUCCAGCCAUGCCGCGUGUGUGAAGAAGGCCUUAUGGUUGUAAAGCACUUUAAGCGAGGAGGAGGCUACUGAGACUAAUACUCUUGGAUAGUGGACGUUACUCGCAGAAUAAGCACCGGCUAACUCUGUGCCAGCCGCCGCCGUAAAAC
rnacentral:rRNA from 1 species